GGAGAAAUACCCAAGUGGCUGAAGGGGCUCCCCUGCUAAGGGAGUAGUACGGUAACACGUAGCCCGGGUUCAAAUCCCGGUUUCUCCGCCA
rnacentral:tRNA from 1 species